CUUGUCAUAAAAAUUAAAAUCAAAUUCGACUUAACUGCCAGCCACAGCAUUGCAGCUCCAACAAACUUUCGGGUCGAUAAGCUGGCAACAGGCGGCGCAGGGCGGUCUCCAGGUGGAUCCAUAAACAAAGCCUAAUCCAAAACCCAAAACCGAAGCCAGUACCAACCUCAACACUUUCCUUUCGACGCCCGUUGCGUUUGGCUUUUUAUGGACUCGAAAUUUAACGCCAUUUGAUGAGAGUUUGAGUGCGGGUUUGGGCUUGAGAUUUGUUUGUGGCUCUUUUAAUUAAAAGUAAAACCAGGUUAAGUAUUGAGCAAAAGCGCAGCAUGUGUUGCCCCUCCAGAAAGACGGAUCUCUCGUCUCUCAUCGGCCAUUAAAGGCGCGCGUAAAUCUCCCGCUUGGCCAACUACAAAGGGCCAUCAAAUCAAAGUUCAUUAGUUGUGAAAACACUAGUCGUCAAAUCUCAGAUGCCUGAUAUUGUAUUCUAAAUCUGUGAUUGUCACUGCCGGCAAACGGGGAUCCAUCAUACUGAUUUUGUGGGCAAAUGCAGCUGCCAAUUCUGAAAUUAGGCUCGCUGUUCUCCCUCGCUUUUGGCCAACUGGCAAAAGACGAAAUUUCGUCUCGCUCAAAAUCCAAUUUGAAAUGCGAUCUGGAACGAAUGACGAAUACACACCGGGAAAACGGGACAAACAGGACACGACCUGGCCUCGGACCUGGACCUGGACAAUGGCAAUGCGUGAAAAUCCUUUUGAGCACAAAUUUUCCUUUGUCGAGUCGAAGGCAAGAAAACUCAAGUGUGAAAAUUACUUGUGGCGGCAUUCGCAUCUGCAAAAAUUCCAAUGCCCCACUGACAGGCAUCCGCAAAAUCCUAUAAUUGGAUUAGAGCCCAUGGAAAAAGGCCAACUUUCAAAUGGUAUUCGGUGUUAAUCUGUGCAACUAUCCCAGAUUUAGGUCAGCAACGCACAGC
rnacentral:sRNA from 1 species